rnacentral:rRNA from 1 species
UACGUAGGGGGCAAGCGUUGUCCGGAUUUAUUGGGCGUAAAGAGCGUGUAGGCGGUUUGGUAGGUCCGUUGUGAAAACUCGAGGCUCAACCUCGAGACGCCGGCGGAGACCAUCAGGCUAGAGUCCGGAAGAGGAGAGUGGAAUUCCUGGUGUAGCGGUGAAAUGCGCAGAUAUCAGGAAGAACACCCGUGGCUAAGGCGGCUCUCUAGUACGGUACUGACGCUGAGACGCGAAAGCGUGGGGAGCGAACAGG